rfam:Beggiatoa sp. PS contig24845, whole genome shotgun sequence.
AGGAGCUGUAUGAGGUGAAAGUCUCACGUACAGUUCUGAAGACGAGUCACUUAUGGCGACAUAGGUGGCUUAGUUUAAC